GAUGAACGCUGGCGGCGUGCUUAAUACAUGCAAGUCGAACGAGAAGUGAAGACGGAAACCUUCGGGCGGAAGGCUUUAUUUCGAGUGGCGGACGGGUGAGUAACGCGUGGGUAACCUGCCUCAUACAGGGGGAUAACAGUUGGAAACGACUGUUAAUACCGCAUAAGACCACAGCACCGCAUGGUGCGGGGGUAAAAACUCCGGUGGUAUGAGAUGGACCCGCGUUCGAUUAGCCAGUUGGCGGGGUAACGGCCCACCAAAGCGACGAUCGAUAGCCGAUCUGAGAGGAUGACCGGCCACAUUGGGACUGAGACACGGCCCAAACUCCUACGGGAGGCAGCAGUGGGGAAUAUUGCACAAUGGGGGAAACCCUGACGCAGCGACGCCGCGUGAGUGAAGAAGUAUUUCGGUAUGUAAAGCUCUAUCAGCAGGGAAGAAAAUGACGGUACCUGAGUAAGAAGCCCCGGCUAACUACGU
rnacentral:rRNA from 1 species